rnacentral:rRNA from 1 species
UACGGGGGAGCAAGCGUUGUUCGGAUUUACUGGCGUAAAGGGCGCGUAGGCGGCGCAACAAGUCGGAUGUGAAAUCCCAGGCUCAACCUGGAACUGCAUCCGAUACUGGAUGGCUUGAAUUCGGGAGAGGAUGCAGAAUUCCAGGUGUAGCGGUGAAAUGCGUAGAUAUCUGGAGGAAUACCGGUGGCGAAGGCGGCAUCCUGGACCGACGAUUGACGCUGAGGAGCGAAAGCCAGGGAGCAA